GUACACUCCUACGGGAGGCAGCAGUGGGGAAUAUUGGACAAUGGGCGCAAGCCUGAUCCAGCCAUGCCGCGUGAGUGAUGAAGGCCCUAGGGUUGUAAAGCUCUUUCACCGGUGAAGAUAAUGACGGUAACCGGAGAAGAAGCCCCGGCUAACUUCGUGCCAGCAGCCGCGGUAAUACGAAGGGGGCUAGCGUUGUUCGGAUUUACUGGGCGUAAAGCGCACGUAGGCGGACUAUUAAGUCAGGGGUGAAAUCCCGGGGCUCAACCCCGGAACUGCCUUUGAUACUGGUAGUCUUGAGUUCGAGAGAGGUGAGUGGAAUUCCGAGUGUAGAGGUGAAAUUCGUAGAUAUUCGGAGGAACACCAGUGGCGAAGGCGGCUCACUGGCUCGAUACUGACGCUGAGGUGCGAAAGCGUGGGGAGCAAACAGGAUUAGAUACCCCGGUAGUCC
rnacentral:rRNA from 1 species